UGGGGAAUAUUGCACAAUGGGCGCAAGCCUGAUGCAGCCAUGCCGCGUGUGUGAAGAAGGCCUUCGGGUUGUAAAGCACUUUCAGCGGGGAGGAAGGCGAUAAGGUUAAUAACCUUGUCGAUUGACGUUACCCGCAGAAGAAGCACCGGCUAACUCCGUGCCAGCAGCCGCGGUAAUACGGAGGGUGCAAGCGUUAAUCGGAAUUACUGGGCGUAAAGCGCACGCAGGCGGUCUGUCAAGUCGGAUGUGAAAUCCCCGGGCUCAACCUGGGAACUGCAUUCGAAACUGGCAGGCUAGAGUCUUGUAGAGGGGGGUAGAAUUCCAGGUGUAGCGGUGAAAUGCGUAGAGAUCUGGAGGAAUACCGGUGACGAAGGCGGCCCCCUGGACAAAGACUGACGCUCAGGUGCGAAAGCGUGGGGAGCAAACAGG
rnacentral:rRNA from 1 species